GCUUAUGUUUUAUCUUGUAUUACACAGACGCAUGAAAAUAAUUACAGUGCAUGAUGUGCCAAAGGCUCAGAAUAGCAGGACACUUAUUUAAAUUGCAGUUUAGAUUUUCUCAAAUCACUACCUUUUCCUAAGAAGCCCACGUCCUCGUGACCUUGUCAGCCCAAUAAGAAAAGCAGGAAACGUAGGUUAUCAUCUGAAUGUGCAAUCUCCAUCACAUAGCAGAACAUUUCUAACUAGUCAUGUGGCUUUGGGCAAGCAAUUUGAUCUCUUCAAUUUGAAAAACAUUUUCAUGACUACCACGUGCGAGGCUUUGGGAUGGACUUCUGUGGGAUGGCUCAGACAUGUCUUUAAGGAGAAGGGAAUGCUGGGUAGAGAAAAGCGGCCAAUAGGAGGCGAGCAGAAGGCAUUGAGCAACUUCUAGGUCCGCUCUAUAAACAUGUUUUGAAUAUCAAUACAUCCUUGCCUACUGAGUCAGAGAGUGCCGUGCUGUGAAAGCUGAAUUAAGGAGAGUCUUCUGAAGGAGGGGUUUCACAAUGCUACCUACAGGUCAAGGAGGAUGAGAGCUGAAGACUGAGGGAGUGGCCCUCUGCCAGGCCGAUUUUGUUCCCCCAGGAACUUUUGGCAAUCUCUGGAGAUAUUUUUCACAUGUGUGACAACUGGAGGGAGGGGAUGCUAUUGGCAUCCAGUAGGUAGAGGUCAGGGAUGCUGCUAAACACCCCACAAUGCACAGGAAAACCCCCAACAACAAAGAAUGAUGGUGGCCCAAGUGUCAGCGGUGCUGAGUUUGAGAAAGCCUGUCUUAGGGGAUCAGGGCAAUGCUUCCCAAGCUCUGCUACACGUGAGAAUCACCUGUGAAGCUUUUAAAAACUGAUGCCCAGGUCACACCCCGACCAAUUGACUCAUAAUAUCUUGGAGUGAAUUUGAUUAUGUUACCUCUUAAAUCCCUUCUAACUCUAAAACUUUAUGAGAAAUGGGAGUGAUUGAAUACUGCAUUUAAAUCCAGAUUUCCGAGCAGCUGAGAGAGUGACCCCAAUCAAUGCUUGUUACACGUGAAGUCCCGUUAGGUCUAAGUCCAUGGGGAUAAGCAGAAUGUGGAUUUCCACCUGUGCUCAGUGGCGAGGACGAACAAGCAAUGUUUCAUCUCUUUUUCAAAAAUUUUUGUAUAAAUUCUACUCACACCAAUGUUUGAGAGUGGGCUGUGGGAGUUAGGGAAGAUCAGAGUCUUUCUGGGUCAUGUAACAGCAAAUAUAUGACUAAGAAGAAAAAUAUCUUUGCCUCACACAUCCCCAUGUGAUGGAGGCCCAUCCUCACUUCCCCCUUCCCUCCCUCAGCCAAUUUGCAACAAAAGAGGGUAAAAUGCUGCCCUGGAACAAACGACCUCCUUUGAAAGGUGAAACCACUUGCUGGUGUUUGUGGGAGGGAGCACUGUUGAGAGGCAGAGGGGAUGCUCGUUAGGAAUUGUGAUCCUUACUGAACCAGGCGUGGGACCCCGGGCCUCUGAACUGUCUCUUUCUGCUGGGCUCUGAAAUUGGGAGCUUGGCUCCCUAAUUGCCCCCUAUGCUGGUUUUAUUUGGUGGCUCAGCUGGGUGGAGUGAACUCUAGGAAGAGAUGCGUUCAUUUUUAGUUACCUCACCAGAUUGCUGAUUUUCACUCUGGAGGCAUAAAUCACCAUAAUCACUGUAAUCCCAAAACGGAGAGGCAGCUCUUCUGGCACCAGAGCAGCAGCUGUUGCUGCCACCAAAACUCUCCCACCUGAGGUUCGGGGCCGGGGGAGCUGGGGGAGGGGCCCCACGAGGCUUGCUCUGCCAGGCGCUUCAGAUUUGGGAUGGAGGGCAUGCUGGAAUCUCAUGCUCCUUCACUUGGGGAAGAAAUGGAGUUUCCCGAGGAGCAGUUUCUUUGGAGUUAGUGGCAAGAGUGUGCAGAUUAAGGAGACCUUUGGCCCGGGGGAACUGGACAGCUGUUUACAUACUUGCAAAAAGAACGUUAGCCCCUCUCUUCUCUGAUAUCUUCACUUCUUGAUUCAGCUUGUUUUUUGCAUCUGUCCUAAUGCAAAAAUUAAAAAUUCCUAAAGAAUUACCUCAAACAGAAACCAGAAGCUACAAAAAAUACCCCCCCCCAGAGGUGGGGGCUAAAUAUCACUAGAGAAAAAAGAAGCCCAAUGUAACUUGUCACUUUGUCACCUACACUUAUAAUAUUGAUUUGAAAAUACUUCUUUUUAAAGAAAACCAACCUAAGCUAAGUCUAAGAAAUACUAGAUCCUGAAGCAAGGUCCCUUAAAGGAUGAUU
ensembl:lncRNA